rnacentral:rRNA from 1 species
GGAUGCGAUCAUACCAGCACUAAAGCACCGGAUCCCAUCAGAACUCCGAAGUUAAUCGUGCUUGGGCGAGAGUAGUACUAGGAUGGGUGACCUCCUGGGAAGUCCUUGUGUUGCAUUCC